rnacentral:rRNA from 1 species
GUCUGCAACUCGACUACAUGAAGCUGGAAUCGCUAGUAAUCGCGGAUCAGAAUGCCGCGGUGAAUACGUUCCCGGGUCCUUGUACACACCGCCCGUCACACCAUGGGAGUCGGGAAUGCCCGAAGCCAGUGACCCAAGCGAGAGCAGGGAGCUGUCGAAGGCAGGUCGGAUGACUGGGGUGAAGUCGUAACAAGGUACC